rnacentral:rRNA from 1 species
GGUAAGUUAGUUGCUUGCAACCAACACGAGUGGCGCACGGGUGAGUAACGCGUACGCGACCUGCCCUCAAGAGGGAAUAGCCCUGGGAACACGGGAUUAAUGUCCCAUGUGAUUGUAUUUCUAAGGGAUAUAAUUAAAGGAGCGAUCCGCUUGAGGAUGGGCGUGCGUGCUAUUAGCUAGUUGGUGAGGUAAUGGCUCACCAAGGCGACGAUAGCUAGGGGGCGUGAGAGCGUGACCCCCCACACGGGUACUGAGACACGGACCCGACUCCUACGGGAGGCAGCAGUAAGGAAUAUUGGACAAUGGGGGCAACCCUGAUCCAGCCAUCCCGCGUGCAGGAAGACGGCCCUAUGGGUUGUAAACUGCUUUUAUUAGGGAAGAAUAGCAUCAAUGGAUUGGUGUAUGACGGUACCCAAAGAAUAAGCACCGGGUAACUCCGUGCCAGCAGUCGCGGUAAUACGGAGGGUGCAAGCGUUAUCCGGAAUCACUGGGUUUAAAGGGUGCGUAGGUGGAAUAAUAAGUCAGGCGUGAAAGGUUACAGUUUAACUGUAGACUUGCGUUUGAUACUGUUAUUCUUGAAUUAAGAUGAGGUUGGCAGAAUGCGACAUGUAGCGGUGAAAUGCAUAGAUAUGUCGUAGAAUACCGAUUGCGAAGGCAGCCAACCGGACUUAAAUUGACACUGAGGCACGAAAGCGUGUGGAGCGAACAGGAUUAGAUACCCUGGUAGUCCACGCCCUAGACGAUGUUCACUCG